rnacentral:rRNA from 1 species
CAGUCGCCGCGGUAACACGUAGGGUGCGAGCGUUAAUCGGAAUUACUGGGCGUAAAGCGUGCGCAGGCGGUUGUGUAAGACAGGUGUGAAAUCCCCGGGCUUAACCUGGGAACUGCGCUUGUGACUGCACAGCUAGAGUAUGGCAGAGGGGGGUGGAAUUCCACGUGUAGCAGUGAAAUGCGUAGAGAUGUGGAGGAACACCGAUGGCGAAGGCAGCCCCCUGGGCCAAUACUGACGCUCAUGCACGAAAGCGUGGGGAGCAAACAGGAUUAGAUACCCCUGUAGUCCCUGUCUCUUAUAC